CAGAUUUGGAGUCACACUCAAAAUUAAAGUUGAAAAACACACUACAGGCUGAUCCAACUUUGAUGUAAUGUCCUUUAAAACAAGUCAAAGUGAGGCUCAGUAGUGCGUGUGGCCUCCAUGUGCCUGUAUGACCUCCCUACAACGCCUGUGCAUGCUCCUGAUGAGAUGGCGGAUGGUCUCCUGAGGGAUCUCCUCCCAGACCUGGACUAAAGCAUCUGCCAACUCCUGGACAGUCUGCGGUGCAACGUGACGUUGGUGGAUGGAGCGAGACAUGAUGUCCCAGAUGUGCUCAGUUGGAUUCAGGUCUGGGGAACGGGCGGGCCAGUCCAUAGCAUCAAUGUCUUUGUCUUGCAGGAACUGAUGACACACUCCAGCCACAUUAGGUCUAGCAUAGUCUUGCAUUAAGAGGAACCCAGGCCCACCGCACCAGCAUAUGGUCUCUCAAGGGGUCUGAGGAUCUCAUCUCGGUACCUAAUGGCAGUCAGGCUACCUCUGGCGAGCACAUGGAGGGCUGUGCGGCCCCCCCCAAAAAAUGCCACCCCACACCAUUACUGACCCACUGCCAAACCGGUCAUGCUAGAGGAUGUUUCAGGCAGCAGAACGUUCUCCGCGGCGUCUCCAGACUCUGUUAUGUCUGUCACGUGCUCAGUGUGAACCUGCUUUCAUCUGUGAAGAGUACAGGGCGCAAGUGGUAAAGUGCCAAUUAUGGUGUUCUCUGGCAAAUGCCAAACGUCCUGCACGAUGUUGGGCUGUAAGCACAACCCCCACCUGUGGAUGUCGGGCCCUCAUGGAGUCUGUUUCUGACCGUUUGAACAGACACAUGCAUAUUUGUGGCCUGCUGGAGGUCAUUUUGCAGUGCUCCUCCUGUUCCUCCUGCUGCUGGGUUGUUGCCCUCCUACGGUCUCCUCCACGUCUCCUGAUGUACUGGCCUGUCUCCUGGUAGCGCCUCCAUGCUCUGGACACUACGCUGACAGACACAGCAAACCUUCUUGCCACAGCUCACAUUGAUGUGCCAUCCUGGAUGAGCUGCACUACCUGAACCACUUGUGUGGGUUGUAGACUCCAUCUCAUGCUACCACUAGAGUGAAAGCACCGCCAGCAUUCUAAAGUGACCAAAACAUCAGCCAGGAAGCAUAGGAACUGGUCUGUGGUCACCACCUGUAGAACCACUCCUUUAUUGGGGGUGUCUUGCUAAUUGACUAUGAAUUCCACCUGUUGUCUAUCCCAUUUGCACAACAGCAUGUUAAUUUGAUUGUCACUCAGUGUUGCUUCCUACGUGGACAGUUUGAUUGACUUGGAGUCACAUUGUAUUGUUUAAGUGUUCCCUUUAUUUUUUUUGAGCAGUGUACAUUAUGGUUAUAAUGACCACUGACUGAGGUUACCAAUGUGUAAAGGUUUAACAAUUCUUGGCAUUUGAAUUUUUUGGGAUAUGAGUCAAUUCCAGGACUGUUGGAUGCACAUUUUUUGCAAGCUAACAAUAAUUAUCAGUACCAAUCCGGUAGACAAAUCGCUAAAAACUGUGUCGGCAUAAGGGUCAAGUGAUGUG